GAGUAAUCUGCCCUUGGCUUUGGGAUAGCCACCGGAAACGGUGAUUAAUACCGGAUACGACCACUUCACGCAUGUGAUGGUGGUGGAAAGUUUUUCGGCCAGGGAUGUGCUCGCGGCCUAUCAGCUUGAUGGUGAGGUAAUGGCUCACCAUGGCUUCGACGGGUAGCCGGCCUGAGAGGGUGACCGGUCACACUGGGACUGAGACACGGCCCAAACUCCUACGGGAGGCAGCAGUGGGGAAUAUUGGACAAUGGGCGGAAGCCUGAUCCAGCAACGCCGCGUGAGGGAUGACGGCCUUCGGGUUGUAAACCUCUUUCGGUGGGGACGAAGCGCAAGUGACGGUACCCACUAAAGAAGCACCGGCCAACUACGUGCCAGCAGCCGCGGUAAUACGUAGGGUGCGAGCGUUGUCCGGAAUUAUUGGGCGUAAAGGGCUCGUAGGCGGUUUGUCGCGUCGGGAGUGAAAACGCCGUGCUUAACACGGCGCUUGCUUUCGAUACGGGCAGACUAGAGGUAUUCAGGGGAGAACGGAAUUCCUGGUGUAGCGGUGAAAUGCGCAGAUAUCAGGAGGAACACCGGUGGCGAAGGCGGUUCUCUGGGAAUGACCUGACGCUGAGGAGCGAAAGUGUGGGGAGCGAACAGGAUUAGAUACCCUGGUAGUCCACACCGUAAACGUUGGGCGCUAGGUGUGGGGUCCAUUCCACGGAUUCCGUGCCGCAGCUAACGCAUUAAGCGCCCCGCCUGGGGAGUACGGCCGCAAGGCUAAAACUCAGAGGAAUUGACGGGGGCCCGCACAAGCGGCGGAGCAUGCGGAUUAAUUCGAUGCAACGCGAAGAACCUUACCUGGGUUUGACAUACACCCUG
rnacentral:rRNA from 1 species